CAUAAUUCACCCUCACACUCAUACCUACGGGUUAUUUGUCUAUACGGUAAUUUGUCUAACCUGCACGUUUAGGACUACGGCAGGAAACCGGAUAUUCGAAUUACUAAAGAGAGUGACUGGUUUGUGAAGCUGAUUCACCACGGGGCUCCAAUUAGAAGUAGACUCAGACACAGAGGUGCAGCAAUUUGUUUACUGCAGUGAGUCAAGAUUGUACAUAGGUAUGUACAUGUAUGCAUGGUUUCCUACAAUACAAAUAGAUAUACAGAAGGCAACAAACUUGCACAAGCAUACUAUAUAAACCUACUGACACAGGCAGAAACAUCGCAUAGGCAUUGUAUAAUAUGCUAAUUGGCUACACUAACCGCGAUCUUUUAACAAAGGAAAAAGGCAGGAUGUGACAAUUUAACGUGCCAUUCGCAAUUAAACUGAAUUAGUCACACACUGAUGCACGCGCGAGCAAAGCGCGGGUGGCUAAAUAGCUGGCUAGACCGUAAAACUGGGAAGCCUAACACAACAAAGUAUAUAGUACAUUUAGCGGUAGCUUCGUUGUUACAGUUUAGAAUUAUGCAACGAUACAGUCAACCAUGCAGUUAAAAGAGGUAAUGCCUAUUUCAGUUAAGCAGAAAUAAGCAGUAAGGAGCAUUUAGUCACAGCAACUAACUUUUACACAUACUACACUUGACUCAAAUGGAUGACGAUGGAAAAAGUACAGGAGGGCACCCUAAAAUGUGCCCAACAGGGAAUUUAGCAUACCGGAAGCCUACCCGUAAAAAACCGACAUGGACACGCAAACUCUACACAGAAAGUUUUCAAUGAAACCGGCUGCAAUCUGGGAUUCAAACCGGGGAGGCAACAGUACUACUAGGCCACCAUUCUGCCUUGUCCUCGGACGCAGGGAGACGUGGCGGCCGGUGUUGUACAUGGUCCCUCCAACCUGUGUGACGGGCAGCAAACAAAGGAAGAGGGAGCCAUGCCGCUGUUUGAUGGACGGGGGGGCCUCACCAGGUCAAGGAAAUUUGUACAGAGAGAAGCCAAGCAUUCUGGCAAUGCCUAUCCACCCAUCGGCCCCUUGCUGUUAAAGUCAGGCCAAGUCUCACAAAAGUUUGGUUUGAAAUCAGUUCAGCUUCAUGAUGCAUGACAAGUUGCUGUAAAAUGAAUGCAUGUCUUAUGCUAAUCUAUGUAAAUAAAACAAGCAGUAUUCUGGUGAACCUUACAGAUAUUUUUUGUAAUGAAAAAAAUUGAAAAUUCAAAAGCUCAACAAAACUCAUUUAAAUAUGGAAAGUAAGUCUGUCAUAUAACAUUUACAAAAAAAUGAAAUGUAUAUCUGGGAAAGCCACAAAUGUACUUUACAAAUGUUUUGAAAAACAUCAAAAAUACAAAGAAAAAAAUAGUUCAAAUAUUCACUUUGAAAGAAACUUGUUUUUUUUAAGAUAUUACAAGUGUACAAUUAGUAAAUUGAUACUGAACAGAAGAGACAAUAACUGUUACCCUGAAAUACGCGCGCGCACACACACACACAUUUUAAACACUGUACACAAGCACUUUUAUGAGUGUAUUCUACUUGCAUGCACAGAUGCUUUUGACACAAAAAUAGAAUGCAUUAUGAAAUGUUUAUGUACUGUGAAAUCUGAAAAAAAGGAAGAAUUCAAAUACUAAUUUGUAUGGUUUGACAUCAUUCGCACCUAAGCGCAAAUAGCAUAGCUAAUUGCCCACAAUCAUUCCUUUCAUUUGCAUUAAAAUAUGUGGA